UAUACCAGGAUGCCAGCAUAGUU
rnacentral:miRNA from 1 species